rnacentral:rRNA from 1 species
AUUGAACGCUGGCGGCAUGCCUUACACAUGCAAGUCGCACGGCAGCACGGGAGCAAUCCUGGUGGCGAGUGGCGAACGGGUGAGUAAUAUAUCGGAACGUGCCCGGUCGUGGGGAUAACGUAGCGAAAGCUACGCUAAUACCGCAUACGAUCUACGGAUGAAAGCGGGGGAUCGCAAGACCUCGCGCGAUUGGAGCGGCGAUAUCAGAUUAGGUAGUUGGUGAGGUAAAGGCUCACCCAAGCCGACGAUC